rnacentral:rRNA from 1 species
UACAGAGGGGGCAAGCGUUGUUCGGAAUUACUGGGCGUAAAGGGCGCGUAGGCGGCCUUCUAAGUCGAACGUGAAAUCCCCGGGCUCAACCCGGGAACUGCGUCCGAUACUGGAAGGCUUGAAUCCGGGAGAGGGAUGUGGAAUUCCAGGUGUAGCGGUGAAAUGCGUAGAUAUCUGGAGGAACACCGAUGGCGAAGGCAGCCUUCUGGGCCAACACUGACGCUCAUGCACGAAAGCGUGGGGAGCAAACAGG